rnacentral:rRNA from 1 species
AGUUCAUUGAAAUAUAUUUUGAAUUUUUUCCUGCCCAGUGUAUAAAAAUAAAUGGCCGCAGUACCUUGACUGUGCUAAGGUAGCAUAAUCAAUUGGCUUUUAAUUGAAGUCUUGGAUGAAAGGAUUUAUGGGAAUAUUCUGUUUCAAAAGUAUUAUUUUUAAUUUAUUUAUUAGGUGAAAAUACCUUCAUAAUUAUAAAAGACGAGAAGACCCUAAGAAUUUUUAGGAAAUUUUUUUUCAUUAUCCUUUUUGUUGGGGCGACAGAUAAACAAAAAAACUUAAUUUUUAGUAUAUAUCGAUUAUUUUAGUAAAAAUUAAAUUACCUUAGGGAUAACAGCAUAGUUUUAAAAAGUUUGUGACCUCGAUGUUGGACUAGGAACUUAAUGGCUAGCAGUCAGUAAAGAGUGUUCUGUUCGAACAGUUAUUGCC